GGUCAGAAGCUCUUCCAGGGUGACAUCAUGCUUCCAAAAGAGAGAAAUGCUCUGCGGGAUGAUUCCACUCGGUGGAAGUUUCCCAUUCCCUACAUACUGGCGGAUAAUCUGGACCUAAAUGCUAAGGGAGCUAUUCUGAAGGCUUUUGAGAUGUUUCGUUUGAAGUCCUGUGUAGAUUUUAAACCCUAUGAAGGAGAACCCACAUUUCUUCAUUUCCAGAAAUUUGGAGGG